rnacentral:lncRNA from 1 species
GUAGUAGUAUUAGUACUAAAGUAGUAUAGUAGUAGUAGUAGUAGUAUAGUAGUAGUAGUAGUAUAGUAGUAGUAGUAGUAGUAGUAGUAGUAUAGUAGUAGUAGUAGUAGUAGUAGUAGUAGUAGUAGUAGUAGUAGUAGUAGUAGUAGUAUAGUAGUAGUAGUAGUAGUAGUAUAGUAGUAGUAGUAGUAUAGUAGUAGUAGUAGUAGUAUAGUAGUAGUAGUAGUAGUACUAUAGUAGUAGUAGUAUAUAGUAGUAGUAUAGUAGUAGUAGUAGUAGUAGUAGUAUAGUAGUAGUAGUAUAGUAGUAGUAGUAGUAUAGUAGUAGUAGUAGUAUAGUAGUAGUAGUAGUAGUAGUAUAGUAGUAGUAGUAGUAGUAGUAUAGUAGUAGUAGUAGUAGUAUAGUAGUAGUAGUAGUAGUAGUAGUAUAGUAGUAGUAGUAGUAGUAGUAGUAGUAGUAGUAGUAGUAUAGUAGUAGUAGUAGUAGUAGUAUAGUAUAGUAGUAGUAGUAUAGUAGUAUAGUAGUAGUAGUAGUAGUAGUAGUAGUAGUAGUAGUAGUAUAGUAGUAGUAGUAGUAGUUGUUGGGGACUUGUUCUCAAAUGCUAAGAGUUAAGAACAAGGCAACAUAAAAAAUGUUAAGUGUUAAAGUCCUUCGUCCUUCGAAGCAUUAUGUCCCCUUCGGGAGAUAAUGAGUCUGGGACGAAGGUCAUAAGAGAAAUACCUUCGUAAACAUAACAAAUAAUGACGAAGGACUUAUAUAAAGCAUGAAAUAUAAUAUAAGCAUCAUCGUAGAAUCAUUUCUAUUUUAUUAACAUGGAAAAAUAGAAAUGAUUUCAAAUUACAAAUGUACCUUCGGUCUUGAGAGAGGGUAGAAAGUACAAGCGUGGCGCAAAAGCAAAUGCCAAGUCAGCGUGAACAGUACGGGGGUACUGUUCAUCUAUUUAUAGACACAGGACGCAGCCUGUGACGAAUUACAAUUAUGCCCUUUACAAAAGUUUACAACAUUAUGUUAGACCUCUAUGGAUAAAAAGGUCAUUCUAUCUUUAUGUCGGUUUGCAACGCCGAAGCUCUAUAAAAAGGAACCUUCGGCCAUUUCCUGGGGACGAUUUCAGCCGAAGCUGCUUCUUCACGCAAGACCUUCGGCGCAACGAAGCAUGGGCCCAACAGUAGCCCCUUUCGCGGCGCUAGAUCGUUUUUCGUAACGAGCUUGAACCGUGAAAAAAUCCUCUCAAGCUUCGGGAAGCCGAAGGUCCAAAAAACACCUUCCCUGAGCUCGUUGCCGAGAAACGAUUCAUUUCCCGAGAUCGUGUCGGUCCCACCUUGCAGAGUCACUGUUUGGUCCUUGCGGUCCACUGCGCAGCGAGUACAAGUUGCUGCCCGCCUGGUGUAAAAACCCUGCCGCUUUGCCUUCUUACCUGCAGCACUAUAUAAACAGACGAGUAGGUGUGAAGUUACCACAGCAUUUACUGCUAUUUGCACUGUUUUGCUGCCAAAAUUUUUAACCACCACCGAAGCUAGUUUGUCAGAUUUGAACGAAGCUCCAUCUUGAAGCCUGCUUCGGAGAAAAAAGUACCCAAGUUUCACAAGUUCAUAAUUAAAUGGCCAGAGUUCGCUCUACAGCUAGGGUUGAGCGUGAGGGGGACGAAACUGAAGCUUCGGAGACUGUGCCCAUCUCCGAAGCGAUGCAGCGCUCCGGACUGGUGACUGCGGAAGAAAUGCCUGCUGCCGAAGCAAACCCGACAGCUGCCGAAGGAGAAGGGAACAUUGAAGAAACCGACUCCGAAGAUGACUACCGUAUUGCCAUGCCCAGCAAACCCAGCCACCUAGACUUCGGAAAAUCGACUGUUUCAAAGGUUGAUCUCGCCAAGAUGGUGAAAGCAGGUUUUUUCAGUGAAGAUCAGAAGAAGCUACUUCGCUUCGGGGGAGAAGAGACCACCCCGAAGCCAGAGAAGGACGAGGUUGUCAUCUUCAAAAGCUUUUUAAAGGCUGGGCUAAGAUUCCCUGUUCACGAGAUUGUUGCAGAGAUACUGAAGAGGGUUGGCAUCUACCUUCAUCAGUUAACUCCUAACGCCAUCGUUAGGCUUAGCGUUUAUAUUUGGGCCCUCCGAAGCCAAGCAGUGGAGCCUUUUGCUGACAGUUUCUGUCGAGUUCAUGAAUUGCAUUAUCAAACAAAGGCCAGAAAAGAUGGGCUUCAUGAAAACUUCGGUUGCUACAAUUUUGCCUACCGGAAAACCGCAAAGUUUCCUGUAAUCAGUUACCGAAGCAAAUGGCCGGCAGGCUGGAAAUCAGAAUGGUUCUAUGUCAAGGUUGAUGAGGACAAGGAGAAGCUUGUGCAAAGUCCACUCGAGCUAACUUUCGGAGAAACCCGACCCCACUGCAACAUGACACCAGAGGGUCAAACUCAACGGGCAAUGGAUGAAUUCAGAAUCGUUGCAGAGCAUAUUGGUACCAGGGAUCUGGUUCAAGAAUUCUUAGCAUUCAGAGUCUUCCCUACUCUGAAAAAAUGGGAAAUGCCGAAGUUAAAGGGGGAGAAGAAGGAAGGGGAUCUUGUCCGGCUUCCUUACCACUUCAAAUUCAAGAAAUAUUUUAAGAAGCCCUGCCAAGAGUGGCUGGAUACAGUUGAGGUGAUGUGUAAUGAAAUUCUUGGGAAUUACUCGAAAAAGGAAGAUCAACUGAUGACAGCAGCCUUCGGCACCCGUCCGAAGCGAAGGCUGAACCGAGUGCUUGAUGCUCUGGGUUUCGAAUAUCCUGAUUAUGCGCAGCUGAACAAGGGUGCUGAGGGCGAGAGAAGAAAAAGAGCGGCCGAAGCUUUAAACAAGGAUGAAGAACAACCACCAAAAAGAAGAAAAUUGUCAAGAGAAAAAUAUCAACUCCAAAGCGAAAACUAUCCGAAGAAGAGGGGACCCCCACACCACCUUCUACUAGCGACGUGGAGGAAAUUCUAAAGGUAAUGACUGAACCCAUGCCCACGAAGCUAAGUCCAUUAGGGCCUCGACUGACGAAGCUUUUUCAAAAGGUGGCGGAGCCGGAAAAAACGAAGAUAGCCAAAGCGAAAAGGCAAAGAAUUAUUGCCGUAACAGAAGUUAUUGACAAGACGCCACCGAGGGCGUCAAUCCAGAAAACACCAGCUGUUGUGGGCACAGAAAAUGUCGAAGUCGCACCUUCGGAGGUCGCGGCUACCGAAGCCGUUACAGCCGAAGAUGUAAACUUAGAAUCUACUAAUGAAGACAUCAACAAAAUUUUAACAGACAUGGCUGCAGAAGAAGCUGCCACCACUGCUGAAGAAACCAUGGCCACAGUGCCUGGGAAAGGGAAAGAAAUAGCCGAAGACACUUCGGACGACGAAGCCUAUUCAUUUCAAAAUUUAGUCGGGCAAAAACUGUCGAAGGCCGAAAAAGAAGAGCUUAAGGAAUACGCCAAAUCUUGCGGAUACAAGCCAGGUGCUCUUCUAUUUGGAGGCAUUGAUGAUGAAAAACUGGGCUGCAUCCGGGACUCAGCUGGGGCUAAGGUCAUCGGUACUCUAUCAAAGAGUAUCGGUUUCCGAAACUAGAGACAGACAUCAGCCGCUACCGACGACAACAUAUCGUCGGCAGCUUAUUUUAUUCAAAUUUCAAGGUAAACAUCCUCCUCUCUAACUUCUAUUGUUUUUUAAUAAUGGCAAUAUUCUUUAACGAAGGUUGUUUAUUUGCAGAGCAUGCUUCUAAGCAAAGCUUUGAGGAUGCAGCAAGAUCUAGAAGAUAAGAAGCACGAAGCUAUAAUUGAAAAUUUAGAGAGCAAGAUAAAAGAACAAUCAGCUAUUAUUGAAAAGAAAGACUUCGAACUUCAAUCAACCGAAGGCUUGCUGGCAGAGACUGAAGCCAAAGUAGCAGAAUUGAAUUCGAAGCUUCUCUGCCAAUCAAAACAAUUUGAACAAGAGAAGCUAGAACUUGAUUCGAAACUUGAAGCCGAAGUCCAAGCCAACUCAAAUUUGAAGAAAUCAUUAACAAGCCUUCAAGACAAAUGUUUGAAUUUUAGCAACAAUUGUAUCCAACAACUAAAGAAGAUCUUUUACUCAGUUGGGGCCAGCAGCGGGAAAUUUACCCCUUCGGAUGAAGAUUUACCAAAAGCCUUCGAUCAUAUCGAAGCUGAAAUUGAAGAACUUGACGAAGUUAUAGCUGGGCACGGUGACUUCUGUGCCUGGGUAGCUUCUCGGGGUACUGCUGCAGCAUUCCUGAAGGCUGGCUGCGAGCAUGGAAAGAUUGUCAACAGGCCCAACUUCGCCCUGUCUCCAUCAAUUCUCGACGACAUUCCUGACCUCGCCCGGAGCAUCUCAAAUAGAUUCAUAAAAAUGAUAUGGACAAAAGGCGGGCGAGAGAAGGCUGGGGACGAAGCUCGAAGUCAUCUUGAACCAGUAAGAAAUCAUACUUUGUACUUACCUCCUCCUUCACACUUGAUUUUUACUCGGGAUACCUUGAUUCAUGUAGGAUGACGAAGCUGAAGGUGAUGCUUAAAGGAAAUGCCGCCGAAGCAGAAACCUGACGAAGGUUAUUAGGAGUAAACUAGAAAAAACUCAGGAGAAUUUGUAACAACUUUUUGUAAAUAUAAUUAAUCUAUUCUCAAGGAACUUUGUUCAUACCUUGUAAUAUAUUCUUACCCUUUUAUUGAGACGCUUUGAUGUGGACGAAAUCAGUAUUUUGAGCCGAAGGCGAAAAAACACCUUCCCUUCUUUUCGGACACAACGAAGCAUAAAAGACCAUUUCUUCUUUUUGCCAAAGCUUUUCUUUUUUGUACAUGACGAAACAUAAAAGACCGCUUCUUCCUCUUGCCGAAGCUUUUUCUUUUUGUACAUGACGAAACAUAAAGCGCUUCUUCUUCCGACUUUUUUUUUUGUACAUGACGAAACAUAAAAGCCGCUUCUUCUUCUUGCCGAAGCUUUUUCUUUUUUGUACAUGACGAACAUAAAAGGCCACUUCUUCCUUUUGCCGAAGCAACCACUUAGAACACAAAUGCUAUGAAUGAAUGCUUAUGAAUGCAAAUGCUAUGAUGUAAUGUGCGAAUGAAUGUCCAAAGCGUAUAACCAAGCCACACUCAACCAUUAUUUCCUUGUAAUAACCACACAUCAGCUCUGCAUUCCCUUAGGAACGACUUUGGAGCUUCCUCGUCUUUUACUUAGACGGUAUAAACUCUGCAUUCCCUUAGGAACGUCUUUGGAGUUUCUUCGCCUUUUACUUAGGCGGUAUAAGCUCUGCAUUCCCUUAGGAACGUCUUUGGAGCUUCUUCGUCUUUUACUUAGACGGUAUAAACUCUGCAUUCCCUUGGGAACGUCUUUGGAGUUUCUUCGCCUUUUACUUAGGCGGUAUAAGCUCUGCAUUCCCUUAGGAACGUCUUUGGAGCUUCUUCUCUUUUUUCUUUUUCAGUUUCUGCACUCGAUGGUGCGUUCUCAGCUGUUACAUUUACAUUUUUUGGGGGAUUUUGCUCUUAUAAGACUAAAAAAGGAAAUUACACAUAAUGGCCCCAUUAAAAACCUUUCUCCCCCUUCGGAAAGGAAAAGGGUGCCAUGAAAAAGAAAAGAAAAAACAUUAAAAAUUACAUCAUGUUAUACAUAGUAUCGCCGAAGCUCAUCCGCAUUCCAAGACCUUGGAAUUUCGUUGCCAUCCAUGUCCUUCAAUCUGUAUGAUCCAGGCCUUGACGAAGAUACUACUAAGAAUGGUCCUUCCCAUUUCAACUGUAGCUUACCCACUGUAUCUGGGUUAGCCACUCUCCGAAGCACCAAGUGUCCCGGCUCAAUAUUUUUUAGCCGGACUUUUCUAUCUCGCCAUUUAACUGUUUCAGCCUGAUAUUUAUUGAUAUUCUCCACGGCCUGAAGCCUGAUCCCUUCUAAAGCAUCCUUUUCCACAAGGCAAGCAUCUUCGGGACCUGAUUCUGCCGAAGCUACUACUCUUACUGAUCCAGCUUUUGCUUCCUCCGGAGUUAUUGCUUCGUCACCGAAUAAUAAUUUGAAUGGGGUAAAGCCUGUAGACCUUGAUGUUGUUGUAUUGUGGCUCCACACCACUUUGAUUAACUGAUCUGGCCACUUUCCCCUGGGUUGAUUGAAGAUUAACUUCAUUAUUCCUGUCAUUAUAAUGCCGUUGGCCCUUUCAACGAGCCCAUUUGACUCCGGAUGCCUGACUGACGCAAAAUGGAUCUUCGUUCCAAUUUGAUCACAGAAAUUUCUGAAAGCUUCGGAGUCAAACUGCGUUCCAUUAUCUACAGUAUUGCCUUCGGUACCCCGAAGCGACAGACAAUAUUCUGCCAGAAAAACUUUUGGACAGUGGCCGAAGUUAUUGUGGCCAAUGGCUUCGCCUCAAUCCACUUGGAAAAAUACUCCACAGCCACUAUAACAUAUUUUAGAUUCCCUUGAGCCGGUGGUAAUGGCCCAACAAGUCAAGGCCCCACCUUUGCAAUGGCCAGAUGGGUUGUAUCAGCUGUGUCAAAGACGAAGGUUGUUUUUGAUCUCUUGCACAUUUCUGACAACCUUCGCACUUUUGCACUAACUCCGCCGCAUCCGAAGCUGCCUUCGGCCAAUAAAACCCUUGGCGGAAGACUUUCCCAAGUAAUGGCCUGGAUCCAAUGUGGGAUCCACACAGGCCUGCAUGUAUCUCUUUCAUCAACUCUAUACCUUCGGCUCUAGAUAAGCACUUGAGCAGCGGAGCACAAACUCCAUGUUUGUAUAAUUCCCCUUCUAUCAUGACAUACGGACGAGCUCUUGCCUCUAUUCUUUUAUUGUAAGCUUCGUCAUCUGAAAGGACUUACCCUGAAGGUAAGAGAUUAUUUCAGUUCUCCAAUCUUCGCUGUAAACAGGAGAUAUGUUGAGGACUGCUCUUUCAAGGAGCUCCACUGAAGGUGCCUUUAUUGUUUCGAAGAACACAUCCGAAGGUAACGGCAGCCCCUGUGCCGCAGACUUAGCUAGCAAAUCAGCAUGCUCAUUUUGUCCUCGAGGAAUAUUCUUGACAGAGAAUCCUUCGAAGGAUGCUCGAUCCUUCGGACCGUAUCUAGAUAUUUUUCAAGCUUCGGAUCUUUAGCCUUGCAACUUUUGUCAACAUGACCCGAAACCACCUGGGAAUCAGUUUUAAGAAUUGCCCUUCUGAUUCCCAUUGCCUUUAAUUUCCGAAGGCCCAAAAGCAGGGCUUCGUACUCAGCAAUAUUGUUCGUGCAGCUGAAAUCAAGUCUUGCUGCAUAACAAGUUUUGACCUUGGAUGGUGAAACCAACACAGCAGCUGCACCUGCUCCGAAGAUUCCCCAAGAGCCAUCACAAAACACUGUCCACACUUCGGCAUCUUUAUUUGCUUCUUCAUCCUGAGCCCCUGGCGUCCAGUCGGCAAUGAAAUCUGCCAAUGCUUGAGACUGGAUCGAAGAUCUAUGCACAUAAUCAAUGUAAAAUUCGUUGAGCUCUGCAGCCCAUUUCCCAAUCCGUCCAGUAGCUUCUCUAUUUCUCAUUAUAUCCUUCAACGGCUGCGAAGAAGGAACAAUGAUAUUGUAUGCCUGAAAAUAAUGCCGAAGCUUCCUGGAUGCCAUUAAAACGGCAUAUAAUACCUUCUCCAGCUCUGUAUAAUUUUUCUUUGAGACACUAAGGACCUCAGAUACAAAAUACACUGGAACUUGCUUCUUAAGCUGGCCAUAAAGCUUCUCCUGGACAAGCGCCGCACUUACUGCUGAGUGCGAAGCUGCCACAUAUAACAACAGAGGAGCCCCUGGCGUUGGUGGAGUUAAUGUUGUGAGAUCUAUCAAGUAUUGCUUCAACUCUUCGAAGGCUUUUUGUUGACUUGGGCCCCAUUGAAAGACUUCGGCUGACUUCAGCACCUCGAAAAAUGGUAAGUUUCUUUCUGCUGAUCUGGAUAUAAAUCUGUUGAGAGAUGCCAGCCUUCCUGUCAAUCUUUGGGCCCCUUUUCUUGUAGUUGGUGGCUCCAUUCGAAGUAUAGCUUCGAUUUUAUUUGGAUUAGCUUCGAUUCCCUUUGUUGAAACCAAGCAUCCAAGAAAUUUACCCUUCUUUACUCCGAAGACACAUUUCUCUGGAUUCAGCUUCAAACCAGCUUGUCUGAAGCUGGCGAAGGUCUCCUGCAGAUCAACAAUAUGAUUUUCCUGCUUCGUGCUUUUGACGAUAAUGUCAUCAACAUAGGUCAACACAUUUCUGCCUAUUUGAGACUGAAGAACCUUCACAGUCAUUCUGCUGAAACUUCCUCCAGCGUUUUUGAGCCCCUCAGGCAUCCGAAGAUAGCAAUACGUGCCACUUGGAGUUAUGAAGCUAGUUUUCGGCUCAUCUUCCUUUUUCAUCCAGAUUUGAUGAUAUCCUGAGUAACAGUCCAAGAGACUCAUGAGCUCUGAAGAAGCUGCUGCAUCGACUAGAGAGUCUAUCCUUGGCAACGGGAAUUCGUCCUUCGGACAAGCCUUGUUGAGAUCUGUGAAAUCGAUACACAUUCUCCACUUGCCAUUGGCCUUCUUCACCAUAACAGUGUUAGCUAGCCACUCUGGAUACUUCACUUCUCUGAUAACUCCUGCACUGAGGAGUCUUUUUACUUCUUGCGAGCCCCUUCGGCCUUGUCAUCAGACAUUUUCCGAAGCCUCUGCUUUCGGGGUCUAAGGAUGGGUCAACAUUGAGCGAAUGUUCAAUAACAUCCCGUUUACUCCACAGAGAUCAUUAGCCGACCAUGCAAAAACAUCUUUGUUGUUGAAUAAAAACCUUAUCAAGGUUUUCUCCUGGUCUUCAGAUAAUUGCGAGCCCAACAGCACCUUCUGCUCUGCUAUGUCUCACACAAUAGCAUGGGCUUCGGCUGAUCUGCUGAAGCUGCCUUCUCCCUUCUGAAUUUGUACUGUUCACAAGCUUCAGUUCCAUCUAUAUUAUGGAUUGCCUUGGAGUCGGUCCAGCUUCCUUCGGCCCUUCUAGCAGCUUCCUGGCUUCCAUGGAUAGCAAUAGGCCCUUGGUCCGAAGGUAUCUUCAUGCAAAGAUAGGCAGGAUGAAGGAUUGCUUCGAAGGCAUUAAGAGUACCACGACCAAUAAUUGCAUUGUAAGGAUAUUCCAUGUCAACAAUGUCAAACACAACUUGCUCAGUUCUAGUGUUGUUGAUGAAUCCGAAGGUUACUGACAUGGUGAUCUUGCCCAGUGCUACAAUCUGUCUUCCUCCGAAGCCACAAAGAGGAUGUGUAGCAUCAUGAAUCUUAUCUUCUGGCUCUUGCAUCUGUCUGAAGGCUUUAGCAAAUAUGAUGUCAGCUGCACUGCCUGUAUCGACCAAGACAUUGUGAACCAGAAAUCCUUUGAUAACACAAGAGAUAACCAUGGCAUCGUUGUGUGGGUAAUCUUUGAGCUGAAGGUCCUCUUGAGAGAAGGUAAUAGGAAUGUGAGACCAUCUUGAUUUGAUGAAGGGUCCUUGCACCCCAACAUGCUGUACUCUUCUCUGCGCUUCCUUCUUCUGCUUCUUGUUAGCUGGCUCUGAGGACGAGCCACCUGUGAUCGGGAGCACCAGCUUCGGGUCCGAAGCAACUCCAGCUUGAUUGUUGAACGAAGCCAUCAGCUCAGAAAAGUGGAAGUGAGUUCACCGGAGGUGGGCGCCAAUGUUGGGGACUUGUUCUCAAAUGCUAAGAGUUAAGAACAAGGCAACAUAAAAAUGUUAAGUGUUAAAGUCCUUCGUCCUUCGAAGCAUUAUGUCCCUUCGGGAAUAAUGAGUCUGGACGAAGGUCAUAAGAGAAUACCUUCGUAAACAUAACAAAUAAUGACGAAGGACUUAUAUAAAGCAUGAAAUAUAAUAUAAGCAUCAUCGUAGAAUCAUUUCUAUUUUAUUAACAUGGAAAAAUAGAAAUGAUUUCAAAUUACAAAUGUACCUUCGGUCUGAGAGAAGGUAAAAAGUACAAGCGUGACGCAAAAGCAAAUGCCAAGUCAGCGUGAACAGUACGGGGGUACUGUUCAUCUAUUUAUAGACACAGGACGCAGCCUGUGACGAAUUACAAUUAUGCCCUUUACAAAAGUUUACAACAUUAUGUUAGACCUCUAUGGAUAAAAAGGUCAUUCUAUCUUUAUGUCGGUUUGCAACGCCGAAGCUCUAUAAAAAGGAACCUUCGGCCAUUUCCUGGGGACGAUUUCAGCCGAAGCUGCUUCUUCACGCAAGACCUUCGGCGCAACGAAGCAUGGGCCCAACAGUAGUAGUAUAGUAGUAGUAGUAGUAGUAGUAGUAGUAGUAGUAGUAGUAGUAGUAUAGUAGUAGUAGUAGUAUAGUAGUAGUAGUAGUAGUAGUAUAGUAGUAGUAGUAGUAGUAGUAGUAUAGUAGUAGUAAGUAGUAGUAGUAGUAAGUAGUAGUAGUAGUAGUAGUAGUAUAGUAAUAUAGUAGUAGUAGUAGUAUAGUAGUAUAGUAGUAGUAGUAGUAGUAGUAUAGUAGUAGUAGUAGUAGUAGUAGUAGUAUAGUAGUAGUAGUAGUAGUAGUAGUAGUAGUAUAGUAGUAGUAGUAGUAGUAUAG